rnacentral:rRNA from 1 species
AGGACGAACGCUGGCGGCGUGCUUAACACAUGCAAGUCGAGCGGUAAGGCCCUUUCGGGGGUACACGAGCGGCGAACGGGUGAGUAACACGUGGGUGACCUGCCCUCAGCUCUGGGAUAAGCCCGGGAAACUGGGUCUAAUACCGGAUAUGACCACAUGUCGCAUGGUGUGUGGUGGAAAGUUUUUCGGCUGGGGAUGGGCCCGCGGCCUAUCAGCUUGGUUGGUGGGGUGAUGGCCUACCAAGGCGACGACGGGUAGCCGGCCUGAGAGGGCGACCGGCCACGACGUCGGGACUGAGACACGGCCCAGACUCACGGAGCAGCAGUGGGAUAUUGCGCAAUGGGCGAAGCCUGACGCAGCGACGCCGCGUGGGGAUGACGCCUUCGGUGUAACCUCUUCGACCUUGACGAAGUCCGUUCGGUGACGGUAGGGUUAGAGGAAACGCGAACCGGCCAACUCCGUACGCCAGGACACGCCGUCC